rnacentral:ncRNA from 1 species
CUAGGAGCUGUCGUCGCGUUGACGCUGGAUGAGUUUGGAAUAUUUUGCAAAAGAUAAAGAGAAUUGUGAUACAUGGAAAUUUAUAAUUCUGCGGAAACUCUUCGUUGCGAGGUUGACACUGGAUGCGCUUCCACGUCCUCGAAUUCAGAGAAGAAGCGGCGAUGCGGUGGGGUUCUACAGGGCUGAAGAAGAAGAGCUAAACGCUAUUUUUUUUGUGAAAAACCCAAAAUUUCUGUUUUCAAAUGUGAAAAAUAUAUUUGGUUUAAGCGGUAUUGCUCUUCGAUGAUAGUUGAUUGGCCUGAACUGAGAAUACCAGGUCCUGUAACGAGUUACAUAGAGUAGCGAAGACCGUAAGAAAUGUAACAAAUGCAUAUAGGGUUAGAUUCCCAGCCAAGAAAUGGAAAAAAGCGCGAUAACUAUUCAUAAACCGGGUGGGUUUCAGUCUGUAUAAAUAAGGAAUAAAUAAAUAAAGAAAAGUAGAUUUCUAGGAGCGUGUGGCCAAUGCCAUCUAAUUAGUGACGAGCAUGAGUUGAUUAACACUGCCCCUAUCGACUAUUUUGUGAAACCAGAGCCAAGGGAACGGGCUUGGCUGAAAGAAGAACCCGUUGAGCUUGACUGUAGUCUGACUUUGUUGAACGACUGGGGGGGUGUAGCAUAGGUGAGAGUUUCGGCGAGCGUGAAAUACCACUACCCUCAGUCUCGUUCUAAUUAUCCCGUCACGUUGAAAAGCAUACUCGGCAUCUGCUUUUGCCUUAACGCGCCAUUCUGGGAGCUGAUCAGUGCGGAAGAGACAGGCAGGUAGGGAGUUUAGCUGGGGCGGCACCGCUGUGAAGCAAUAGAGCAGGCGUCCUAGUGCAUCGCACAACAGUAGAAGUGUAAGAUACUGGAGCACGACUGAUAUAGAUGAAUCUGCGCUGCAGAAUUAGCCGUUCGUGGUACUUGAGAAACUCGAAACGUGGCUAGUUCCAGCGCCAGGGCAGUGGCAGUGCA